rnacentral:rRNA from 1 species
UGGGGAAUAUUGCACAAUGGGGGAAACCCUGAUGCAGCGACGCCGCGUGGACGAGGAAGCGCUUCGGCGCGUAAAGUCCUGUCAGCAGGGAAGAAGAUGACGGUACCUGACCAAGAAGCCCCGGCUAACUACGUGCCAGCAGCCGCGGUAAUACGUAGGGGGCAAGCGUUAUCCGGAUUCACUGGGCGUAAAGGGAGCGCAGGCGGCACGGCAAGUCCGGUGUGAAAGCCCGGGGCCCAACCCCGGGACUGCACUGGAAACUGCCGGGCUGGAGUGCCGGAGGGGUAAGCGGAAUUCCUGGUGUAGCGGUGAAAUGCGCAGAUAUCAGGAGGAACACCGGUGGCGGAGGCGGCUUACUGGACGGCAACUGACGCUGAGGCUCGAAAGCGUGGGGAGCAAACAGG